GCCAGCCUACGGAACUAUAUUAUGUUAGCCCAUGUCUUUUCCAUAGUUCCACGCUGAAUUUGAAACGUCUCGUCUAUAAUAUUUCGUUAAAAUGAUCACCAGUGCAAAUUAUAUUGCUAAAACGCGCGUAUAGUAAGUGAGUAAGUGCUCGUAUUGGUGUGAGCGAAAACCUGGCAACCGUCGACACAGUGAUGACGUGAUCACCGCGCGCCAUUUUCCCGACUUGUAGCAUGCGUUCUUUUUUCCUUUUUCGUUCGAGGUGCUGGAAGGUGCACGUGCUAAGUCUAAGUUAUGACCAAGCUAAUCAUAAUGCACAUUAAAAAAAAAAGCAGAAACGCAGCAGAGUCACCAUGAUACCCAACGGAUCACCGUCAUGGGUAGAACACUGGGAGAUGUGCAGAUGAUUGGGAAGGCCACUGAAGACCUUGUCAUGCUCAUGAAACCAGUUUGAGAAGACUUUUGAUUCGUCACAUAGCAUGCUGGAAGUAGCCAUUGAAAGAUGGGUGAAUUGAUGCACAGAUGGAUAAAGGGAGCAGUGUCUAGGCCUUCCUGAGGUUUCGUGCUGGAUUUGUCAAACGGCAGUGAAGAUGAACAUACCAAUACGGAAUCUUCUGUCCUGUAAAAGUAAAGCCUGGGAUUGAUUCACAUCUCAGAAGUUUGCAUACUAUAUGACUAUCAGAUAAAUUUCUAUAUUUUGAAACAGAACAGCUGGAACUUUUCAAGGAGAAUGCAAAGAUAUAUGCAGAUAAAUGCCCUUUACCACCAACAUAAAGUUGAUGGUGUAAAACAGCAUACAUACAGGUCAAGCCAAAUGAGGCAUGUAUGUUAAAUACUAAAUAUAUUUUAAUGGAAAUCUAAGUCUGUGUUAAAUUAAUUGUUCAUCAUUUAACAUUUGAAUUUUCAUUAAAAUUAAUAAAUUGAAAUACUG